CGCGUAGGUGGUUUGUUAAGCGAGAUGUGAAAGCCCCGGGCUUAACCUGGGAACGGCAUUUCGAACUGGCAGGCUAGAGUGUGGUAGAGGGUAGUGGAAUUUCCUGUGUAGCGGUGAAAUGCGUAGAUAUAGGAAGGAACACCAGUGGCGAAGGCGGCCUACCUGGACCAACACUGACACUGAGGUGCGAAAGCGUGGGGAGCAAACA
rnacentral:rRNA from 1 species